UACGGUUGUGGAUCGGAGGAAACAUGCAGCUGGGGGUUGAGCCCUCGCCAUCACCACUUUCCUGCCGUUGCCGGCCAAGGCCUAGCAACCCCGGCCAACCAGCUGUUAACCUUUGUGCUGGUCUUCUAGAUUAUGGUGAAGGGAGCUUUGCUGAUGAAUUUGAUAAGAUUGAUAAUCUGGAUGAUGAGGAUGAGGAGGAUCAGCAGAAACCAACAUGAUCAAAGACUUGGAGGAACUUUCCAUGGUGGUUGUUUACUAGAGGCUAGAUCGAUAAUAUAUGUAAAUAUCCAUGUUUUCCCUCUCCAGUCGGUGCUUUUCAAUUACUGAUGUAUAAUAUCUGGAGUGAAUUUGCUCUCUCCUUGUUGCUGUUUUGGACACUCCCUUAAUUUAUCCGCUUGGAACAUGAAUAUGAAAAUUUCACAUGCUUGGUUUCUUCUGA